rnacentral:rRNA from 1 species
GACGAACGCUGGCGGCGUGCCUAAUACAUGCAAGUAGAACGCACAGUUUAUACCGUAGCUUGCUACACCAUAAACUGUGAGUUGCGAACGGGUGAGUAACGCGUAGGUAACCUGCCUGGUAGCGGGGGAUAACUAUUGGAAACGAUAGCUAAUACCGCAUAAUAUUGAUUAUUGCAUGAUAAUUGAUUGAAAGAUGCUAUUGCAUCACUACCAGAUGGACCUGCGUUGUAUUAGCUAGUAGGUGAGGUAACGGCUCACCUAGGCGACGAUACAUAGCCGACCUGAGAGGGUGAUCGGCCACACUGGGACUGAGACACGGCCCAGACUCCUACGGGAGGCAGCAGUAGGGAAUCUUCGGCAAUGGACGAAAGUCUGACCGAGCAACGCCGCGUGAGUGAAGAAGGUUUUCGGAUCGUAAAGCUCUGUUGUAAGAGAAGAACGGGUGUGAGAGUGGAAAGUUCACACUGUGACGGCAUCUUACCAGAAAGGGACGGCUAACUACGUG